CACAUGCAAGUCGAACGGGGUACCCUCUACGGAAGCUUCGGCCGAAGAAGAGGACUACCUAGUGGCGGACGGGUGAGUAACGCGUGAGCAACCUGCCUUUAAGAGGGGGAUAACAUACCGAAAGGUAUGCUAAUACCGCAUAAGAUAUUAGUACCGCAUGAUACAGAUAUCAAAGAUUUCAUCGCUUAAAGAUGGGCUCGCGUCCGAUUAGAUAGUUGGCGGGGUAACGGCCCACCAAGUCGACGAUCGGUAGCCGGACUGAGAGGUUGAACGGCCACAUUGGGACUGAGACACGGCCCAGACUCC
rnacentral:rRNA from 1 species